UUAAGUUAGACCCAGAUACAAUGAGCAGUGUCAGAGUAUUGGACACUCUCUGCUAUCUCAGGAGUGAGGGAAUUUGUAAGCCAUGAAAUUACCAUAUUGUUACACCUAUCCCACUGUCUAAACUGUGGGGAAUCUUCAGAAGGUUUAGGCACUGAGCCAUCUAUAAAACCUAUUUUGUUCCUAGCGGACAAAGAUACUAUCACAUUUCUUCUCCAACCCCCAAAACCAACCCCUGAGAAAGGAUUGGUAACCAAGGAAAUACCAGGAACAUCAGACGACAUGAGAAAUAGGGGAUUCGAGGGACUAGGGACAAAGCUAGUAGGAACAGAAGGAGAAUCAUCUACUACAUCCACCAUUUUUAACUGCUUAUGUCAUUUAACCACAAACAAACAAUAGAUCGUAACUAUACCAGAUGGCUAACACAUGAAUCGACCAGAAACCAACCAGAAACAAACAAAAAUUACAGCCUCUGAUGUUUACACAACAUGCAACAAUUUUAACAACAAAAAAUACAAGCAAUUUUGACGAAAAACUAACCGAAUCGAAAACCCUAAUUUUGUGAAUCAACAGAAACUUGAAUGAAAGCCGGUGAGGGUAACAUCGGUCGAAAGCUCGUGAUGAGUAGAACCGGAAUAUACCCGCUCUGAUACCAUGUUAACAGUUUAACUCAUCGGAUUGAAGAAAAGAAGUGGAGAAGAUGAUGAACAGUGAGAGGAAAGAGAAGAGAGAAAAAGUGAGAAAUGAAAAAGUU
rnacentral:lncRNA from 1 species